GAUGAAGAACGCAGCGAAAUGCGAUAAGUAAUGUGAGUUGCAGAAUUCAGUGAAUCAUCGAAUCUUUGAACGCACAUUGCGCCCGCCAGUAUUCUGGCGGGCAUGCCUGUUCGAGCGUCAUUUCAACCCUCAAGCCCCCGGGCUUGGUGUUGGGGAUCGGCGUGCCCUCGCGGCGCGCCGUCCCCUAAAUCUAGUGGCGGUCUCGCUGUAGCUUCCUCUGCGUAGUAGCAACACUCGCACUGGAUCGCAGCGCGGCCACGCCGUUAAACCCCCCACUUCUGAAAGUUUGACCUCGGAUCAGGUAGGAAUACCCGCUGAACUUAAGCAUAUCAAUAAGCGGAGGA
rnacentral:misc_RNA from 1 species